ACUCACUGUUCGAAAUCAGCAGCAAGUAGUCGGACGUGGCGCGCGUCGUGUUCGUAGGUACCUCCUGAAUGUUGACUAGCGAAACUGCUGCCAACAGAAUAAAGUUGAACACGCGCGACUUUCCUCUUGUGAACAGUGCGAUCCAAAAGUGACACGUGGGGCACUGAACAAGACGGGUCGGAAACGACGGAGAAACGGAGAGAGCAAAACAUGGACGACCAAAAAGUGAACAGUGCGAUCCAAAAGUGACACGUGGGACACUGAACAAGACGGGUCGGAAACGACGGAGAAACGGAGAAGCAUAACAUGGGCGACCAAAAAGGUGAGUCAUUAAAUAUUUCAUGACUUGAGUAAGAGUAUCAUCUUGAGCUGCCAAAGGAAAAGUCGGUCGGUUGCGAGUGCCGUGGAGAACGGCGAAGUCGGUGGCCGGUAAGUGAGAGGGUGAAAUAACGGCUAAAUAAGUAAACGACGGCAUACGUUGUAAGGCACCCUGUCCGGAAAAUGGAAACUCGAUAUGGCAGCCAUCGCUGCUUACCCACGGCGCUCUCCUAUCGCGGAAUUGACGGCCGUGCUCCAUCAUUGAUACGAAACUCACGAGAAACACGUCAGAAAUGUCCGCCGAAUAAGACAAGGGUGGCAUGUCAUUCUCGAUAUACCGGCAUGCACGCUUCGAUAUGAGGGGGAACAACGCCGUCGGAAGUUUUGCGUUUGCCACGAAAGAAGGCUCAGAGUGAAAAGUAUCUGUCGGAUAACUCACGCCAGCGAAUUGUAAGAACGAAUAUUUUAGAAGAAGUACACACACGCGCGCGUACAAUUCUUUUUUUAGAGAAUUACUUUUUCAUUUGCAACCAACAACGAUGACGAAGUAAUAAUAUAAUUAUUUCAAACACAUGAAACGCUAAAUUAUUAUCACUUUUUUUCUUCAUUAUCUGCACUUUUAGCGCGAUGAUAAAAAUAAUACACAUAAAAAAUUAAAAAAUAUAUUACGAGUAUUGAGAAAAGAGGACAAAUUUAAUUAAUUAUUUCUUGAUAACAUAAUGUUUCGACGACAACGUAAUAUAUCACGGCUCGAUCAAUAACAGUUUCAUGAUAUAUUACUCAGAAAUGAAAGCAGUGUCGCGUGCAUUACGACAUUUAAAAUCCGUGCAUUUUAUGAUUUCAUAUAAUUAUCCUAAAUAGUUUUUAAUUUCAAAAUUAUCGACAAUUUAUAAUGCUCUUAUUAAUUAUUAUAUAAUAAUCCAAAAUUAUUUCGAAUAAACUUUUAAUUAAAAUUAUAAUGAGAUCUUGAGCUUGCUUUAUAAAUGAUUGAUAAUUCGCGUCCAAUUUCAGGAUAAAAUUCUAUUUAUAAUUAUAUAUGUGCCUUAUAUUUUGUAUUAUAUGUAUAUUAUAUAUUUUAUUAAAAAUCAUAAAUUAAUUAUAAAUAGAACAUAUAAAAAUUACUUAAAAUUAUAAAUAGAAUUUUAUCUUGCAGAAGUAGAUCUAAAGUAGGCUUUAUGUACGAAAAUGAGCUGCUAAUUUUCCUACAAUUAAAUACUUGUACAAACUUAACAAAAUUGUAUUAGUGAUUAGAGAUGGAUCAUAGAUAUACUUUUUUAUUACAUUAAAAUAUUUUAUCUGGUAUACAAAUAGAAAAAUUUAAUAGUACACAGUUGUAUAUAGUUUCGAAUUACAAGAUGACGAACGCAAGGAUGAGCGCAACAAAGUCUUCUAACUUACCCAUAUCUUAUCUCUCGUAGAGUAAAGCGAGGGUAAAAAAAGCGCGGCACAAUGAUAAAUGGAAUUCAUUUGCUCCCGCAAGGCACGGAAGUCGUCGCUUCCGCAAUGCAGUUGUACGCGCCGUGUUUACCGGUAGGACACGCAUAAAGAGCACCACUUUGUUCUCAUUCUAUUUUUCCCCGAUCUUCGCAUGCGACACGACGAGAACGGCCUUCGGGCCACUGACCGCAGGCGGUGCCGACGGCAAUUUAGUCCGUGGUGGGUCCCGUGUAUUUCACGCUAUAACACCCGGCCUCUCUCCCCUUUCACUCUUAUUUCAACUCUGCCGCUUCGUUUGCUGCGAAAUGGCUGGAAUUAAUGCACUAUUGCCAAAAAUCGCGUUCUUUAUCCAACUGAAAAUUUGACUGUCGCGCCAACUUGAACAUUUUCGUUACCGUUAACUUUCACGUUUUAUAAUUUAUGUAUUUUGUACGCCGUCACUUCACAGUUUCAUCGCAAAAAGUUUUCUUUUAAUUAGAAAAAGUUUGGCAUUUAAAAAUUACAAAAUUAUAAGUAAAAAAUGCGUUCCUCUCUAUAUGUAUAAUCGCAAUCUGUGACGUAACUUUACUAUACAUAUAUCGAUCUUUUUAUUCACGUUCUUAUUGCUGACGCGAUGAAGGAAAAAAUAUAAGGCAUUCUAUAUCCAUGUUAGAGGACAUAACUUGAUCUGACAGGCGAGCUCUAUUAUCCUUCUUUCUAUAAAAGAAACAAUACGUCUUCUUUCUGUGUUUGGUUCUUCUCUGCCAUCCGCUGCUUACAUAUUUCCCCUUCGCACAUCUUUUAUUUAUCGCGCCGUCUACAUUGACUGUUAGGUCUAUUUUAGUCUUAAGUCCCUUGUCAUACACUUUAGUCAUAUUUUCUAAAGAAAAUCUAAAAAUAACUAUUAGGUUUGCAUGUAAUUUUGCUGCGUUGUACAUGAAAGAUUUAACUCCACAAACACAAUUAGACAACUUUGCAUACGUUAAUUAUAUAAUUGCCGAGUACCGCGGCCAAUAAUUGACCGACAUUAAGGAAUUAGUACGGCCGGUAUAUGACAAAAGUCGGUUAACAGUUUUCGCUAACUCAUUUCGGGAAAUUGUCAUUAAUCGGUGAGUAAUCCGAACUAGAUGGGAAAUUCUAACAGCAUAGUACGAUCUACCGCAAGUCUUGAUUUGCACAGAGCUUCUCAUUAACGCUUUAAUCACGUACGUAACUCUUGUGUUUCACUUCAACUAGUUGGAAUUAUUGCAAUAAAUUAUUAUGCAGUGAAAAAGAGCACUAAAAGAAAUUAUUUACACUGUUUUUUAUCAGCACUCGUCUACGAUUAGAUUAUUUAAAUAAUUUAAAUUGAAUAAUCUUAAAAAAGAUUUUUUUAAGAUGAGUUUUAAAAUAUGAUAUAAUCAAAAAAGAGCUAUAGAUUAAACAUAGUAUUUAUAUAAACGAAACUGAUUUGAGACCGACGUAUAUGUGUGUGAUGUAUAUACUCGUUAUGUACACAAAAAUGUGGAAAUAUCUCGAUGUUUCAAUCAGCAUAGAUAAAUCUAUAAAAUUUCGUAAAAAAUGGUACGAUGAAAAAUUAUAACAGCCCGGAGGUUAUUGCGGAAAUAAAACGGUUGGAACGUGGAAAUUGCGUUCGUAGUUUGCACCGUGGGGGAGGAGUACACGGCCGCAUAUAUCGGAAACAAGUGAUUUUUCGAGAAUUCCGUCGGGUUAUUCGAAAAAUUUGAAAUUACCGCAUACUUAUUACAACGCUCACCGCUGAUCACCGGAGGAGAACGAGCAUAUAUCGCGAGCAAUCUCGGAUAUACUUAUUGCCUCGAUAAUAUUAGAUCCCUUGCCACAUGUUUUCUCAUAAAAUGAGAUCGGGGCAUGUACUUCAAAGGGAAUGCUUCGUGGCAUGGUUAUACUGUACGGGGACAUCAUAUUCAGAGGAUAUACAUAGCGGCGUGUAGUAAGAAAACGCGCGCAUACAGCCUCGUCGAUAAAGCUCAUACGUGCAUUUAUCGAUAGUAUUGCCGGUUCAGAGAUCGCCCUGAUUACAUCUUGAGACUCGUAAGAAAGUCUUCCGCGUGAUUCUCGUAGAUUGGAUUUCGCGUGUGAUCAGUCAAUACCGUGAUAAAAGUAUCGCGCGCUCGAGUUUAUAAAAUCUCAUUUUGAGAAGAACGCCCGGAGCAAAUGACGCAGAGCGUCACAAAAGUCGAGAAGGAACCCGCGAUAACAAAGAAUUCGUGAGAUAAAAAUUUCUGUCUGUCAUUUUUAUUUGAAAAUUCAUAAGACUUGAACAAG